rnacentral:rRNA from 1 species
AGCAGCCGCGGUAAUUCCAGCUCCAAUAGCGUAUAUUAAAGUUGUUGCAGUUAAAAAGCUUGUAGUUGAAUUUCGGGAUUGGCGCAUCGGUCGUGCCUCACGGGGUAUGAACUGGUGCAGUCAAUUUCUCACCUUCUGGAGAACCGCGAUGUCCUUAAUUGGAUGCCGCGGGGAACCAGGACCUUUACUUUGAAAAAAUUAGAGUGUUUAAAGCAGGCAUUUUUGCUUGAAUACAUUAGCAUGGAAUAAUAAAAUAGGACGGCAUGGUUCUAUUUUGUUGGUUUCUAGGACCACCGUAAUGAUUAAUAGGGAUAGUUGGGGGCAUUAGUAUUCAAUUGUCAGAGGUGAAAUUCUUUGGAUUCAUUGAAGACUAACUACUGCGAAAGCAUUUGCCAAGGAUGUUUUCAUAAUUCAAAGAACAAGUUNGGGGAUCGAANCGAUCAGAUACCGUCGUAGUCUUAACCAUAAACUAUGCCGACUAGGAAUCAGACGAUGUUAAUUUUUUAAUGACUCGUUUGG